rnacentral:rRNA from 1 species
GAUGAACGCUGGCGGCGUGCCUAAUACAUGCAAGUCGAGCGAACGGACGAGAAGCUUGCUUCUCUGAUGUUAGCGGCGGACGGGUGAGUAACACGUGGAUAACCUACCUAUAAGACUGGGAUAACUUCGGGAAACCGGAGCUAAUACCGGAUAAUAUUAUGAACCGCAUGGUUCAAAAGUGAAAGACGGUCUUGCUGUCACUUAUAGAUGGAUCCGCGCUGCAUUAGCUAGUUGGUAAGGUAACGGCUUACCAAGGCAACGAUGCAUAGCCGACCUGAGAGGGGGAUCGGCCACACUGGAACUGAGACACGGUCCAGACUCCUACGGGAGGCAGCAGUAGGGAAUCUUCCGCAAUGGGCGAAAGCCUGACGGAGCAACGCCGCGUGAGUGAUGAAGGUCUUCGGAUCGUAAAACUCUGUUAUUAGGGAAGAACAUAUGUGUAAGUAACUGUGCACAUCUUGACGGUACCUAAUCAGAAAGCCACGGCUAACUACGUG